AGGUGAAUCCUGAUAAGGUGCAGCAAUUUGAAGAUGCUGGCUUUUCUUUCAUUGGCAAAGAUGAAACUGGUUGCGGCAUGGAGAUUGUUGAGCUGCCUAACCAUCCGUACUUUAUUGGCGUUCAAUUUCAUCCUGAAUUUAAAUCAAGGCCAGGAAAACCAUCUGCUGUGUUCUUAGGGCUUAUAGCAGCAGCAUGUGGAUAGCUUGUUUCUCUUUUGAAGAAGGGUGGAACACCGACUCAUGGACUCUUAGCAAUGGUGAAAAAUUGCAUCGAAAUGGAACAACUCUUGCCAAUGGAUCUUUAGAUGGGAUUUAUCGCAAUGGGAAUGGUGUACAUGUCCAAGAAACAAUAUUUUGUUAAAAGGCCAGAAGAGAAGCCAACAAUUUUGUUUGAUUUUCCAUAUAACAAUACAAAUAGACCUUUAA